ACACUGAUGGUGAAACGGUAUCAUGCUUGCCUUCCAUUGGGGGUGAGCAAGCGGCGCGGGUUCGACUCCCGCUCAGUGUA
rfam:Daedalea quercina L-15889 unplaced genomic scaffold DAEQTscaffold_21, whole genome shotgun sequence.